rnacentral:rRNA from 1 species
UGCAGUCGACGCGAAAGCGGCUUCGGCCGUAAGUAGAGUGGCGAACGGGUGAGUAACGCGUGGGUGACCUGCCUUCGAGUGGGGGAUAACGUUUCGAAAGGAACGCUAAUACCGCAUAACAUCCCGACCUUAGACGGACGGUGAUCAAAGCUGGGGAUCGCAAGACCUGGCGCUUGAAGAGGGGCCCGCGUCCGAUUAGCUAGUUGGUAGGGUAACGGCCUACCAAGGCAACGAUCGGUAGCCGGCCUGAGGGGGCGGACGGCCACACUGGGACUGAGACACGGCCCAGACUCCUACGGGAGGCAGCAGUGAGGAAUUGUUCGCAAUGGGCGCAAGCCUGACGACGCAACGCCGCGUGGAGGACGAAGACUUUCGGGUUGUAAACUCCUGUCGAGCGGGACGAAUAUCACCCGGGUCAAUACCCCGGGUGCCUGACGGUACCGCUAAAGGAAGCCCCGGCUAACUCCGUGCCAGCAGCCGCGGUAAUACGGGGGGGGCAAGCGUUGUUCGGAAUUACUGGGCGUAAAGAGCUCGUAGGCGGCCAACUAAGUCGGACGUGAAAUCCCUCGGCUCAACCGAGGAACUGCGUCCGAGACUGGCUGGCUUGAAGCCGGGAGAGGGAUGCGGAAUUCCAGGUGUAGCGGUGAAAUGCGUAGAUAUCUGGAGGAACACCGGUGGCGAAGGCGGCAUCCUGGACCGGGUCUUGACGCUGAGGA